rnacentral:rRNA from 1 species
GACGAACGCUGGCGGCGUGCUUAACACAUGCAAGUCGAACGGAAAGGCCCUGCUUUUGUGGGGUGCUCGAGUGGCGAACGGGUGAGUAACACGUGAGUAACCUGCCCUUGACUUUGGGAUAACUUCAGGAAACUGGGGCUAAUACCGGAUAGGAGCUCCUGCUGCAUGGUGGGGGUUGGAAAGUUUCGGCGGUUGGGGAUGGACUCGCGGCUUAUCAGCUUGUUGGUGGGGUAGUGGCUUACCAAGGCUUUGACGGGUAGCCGGCCUGAGAGGGUGACCGGCCACAUUGGGACUGAGAUACGGCCCAGACUCCUACGGGAGGCAGCAGUGGGGAAUAUUGCACAAGGGGCGGAAGCCUGAUGCAGCAACGCCGCGUGCGGGAUGACGGCCUUCGGGUGGUAAACCGCUUUCGCUUGUGACGAGGCGUGAGUGACGGUAAUGGGUAAAGAAGCACCGGCUAACUACGU